ACUCAAAGGAAUAGACGGGGGCCCGCACAAGCGGUGGAGCAUGUGGUUUAAUUCGAUGCAACGCGAAGAACCUUACCUGGGUUUGAACUGCUGGUGACAGCUCCAGAGAUGGAGUCUCCCUUCGGGGCACCAGUGGAGGUGUUGCAUGGCUGUCGUCAGCUCGUGUCGUGAGAUGUUGGGUUAAGUCCCGCAACGAGCGCAACCCUUGCCCUUAGUUGCCAUCAUUAAGUUGGGCACUCUAGGGGGACUGCCCGGGAUAACCGGGAGGAAGGUGGGGAUGACGUCAAGUCCUCAUGGCCCUCAUGCCCAGGGCUACACACGUGCUACAAUGGUCGGUAUAGAGGGAUGCAAGACCGCAAGGUGGAGCGAAUCCCAAAAAGCCGACCUCAGUACGGAUUGCAGUCUGCAACUCGACUGCAUGAAGGUGGAAUCGCUAGUAAUCGCGGAUCAGAAUGCCGCGGUGAAUACGUUCCCGGGCCUUGUACACACCGCCCGU
rnacentral:rRNA from 1 species